UACGAAGGGUGCAAGCGUUACUCGGAAUUACUGGGCGUAAAGCGUGCGUAGGUGGUUUGUUAAGUCUGAUGUGAAAGCCCCGGGCUCAACCUGGGAAUUGCGCUCGAGACUGGUCUGCUUGAGUUCGGGAGAGGAGAGUGGAAUUCCCAGUGUAGAGGUGAAAUUCGUAGAUAUUCGCAAGAACACCAGUGGCGAAGGCGGCUCACUGGCCCGGUACUGACGCUGAGGCACGAAAGCGUGGGGAUCAAACAGG
rnacentral:rRNA from 1 species